GACAGGUUGUGUAGUCUAGGACAGGUUGUGUAGUCUAGGACAGGUCAAUUACAGACAGGUUGUGUAGUCUAGGACAGGUCAGUUACAGACAGACAGGUUGUCUAGGACAGGUCAGUUACA